rnacentral:rRNA from 1 species
UACGUAGGGUGCGAGCGUUAAUCGGAAUUACUGGGCGUAAAGCGUGUGCAGGCGGUUCGUUAAGUCAGCUGUGAAAGCCCCGGGCUCAACCUGGGAAUUGCGGUUGAAACUGGCGAACUAGAAUCUGGCAGAGGGGGGUGGAAUUCCACGUGUAGCAGUGAAAUGCGUAGAGAUGUGGAGGAACACCGAUGGCGAAGGCAGCCCCCUGGGCUGAGAUUGACGCUCAGGCACGAAAGCGUGGGGAGCAAACAGG